rnacentral:rRNA from 1 species
CCUACGGGUGGCAGCAGUGAGGAAUAUUGGUCAAUGGACGCGAGUCUGAACCAGCCAAGCCGCGUGCGGGAAGACGGUACAGCGUAUUGUAAACCUCUUUUGUCAGGGGACAAAGGCGGGGACGAGUCCCCGGAUGAGGGUACCGUAAGAAUAAGCAUCGGCUAACUCCGUGCCAGCAGCCGCGGUAAUACGGAGGAUGCCAGCGUUAUCCGGAUUUAUUGGGUUUAAAGGGUGCGUAGGCGGUCCGUUAAGUCAGAGGUAAAAUCCCGGGGCUCAACCCCGGCCGAGCCUUUGAAACUGGCGGGCUGGAGUUGGGGUGCGGUAGGCGGAAUGCGCGGUGUAGCGGUGAAAUGCUUAGAGAUCGUACAGAACCCCGAUUGCGAAGGCAGCGUACCGA